rnacentral:ncRNA from 1 species
UGACGCCUGUCACCGGAUAGGCGAUAAAACGUGCCUGAGUAUAUUCCGUAGGUCUUUGAAGGAAUAUACUCAGGCACGUUUUUUGU